CGAUGGGUCUGUGUUCUCGCCUCAUCUCCCCCUAAUUUCGUAUUUUUAGGGUUUGCUUUCAGUCAAUUCUUGAUUUUUCCCCUAAUUUCGUAUUUUUAGGGUUUGAUUAUAUAAAUUAUUCUUAUUUUUUGUGUUAAUUGAUACAUUUUUUCCGAUUUUGAUUGUUAGGGUUUUAUUUUUUUCCGAUUUUUUUCCGAUUUUGAAUGUCAACCCUAAAGUGGAUAAUAUUUGGUACCCUAUGAAUUACUAUAUCACUUUGAUGAUUUUCUAUUUAGUAUAUGCUUUUACUAUGGUUCUGCUUUAUUUGUGUUUUGUUUAUGUAUCUGUUUCUAUUCUUACUGGCACGAUAUAUAGCUGGUUAGUUUCCUGUUAGUGUGUAAGAAUUAAUUGAGUUAUUAGACCGUCUUGAGUUCGAACUGUUUGGAUAGGAACUGAGACACCGGCCAAUAGUGUGCUCUAAGUAGUGAAAUAUCUGUUAGAUGUUGGUGUGUAUUUUUCUAGUGAAUUUUGUUGACUUUGAUUUUCUUGAUUUGGUAAAUACUAUCAGUCAAGUGCUAGGACGGUGAGGAAAGAUAAGCCACGUGGGCGUCAUCAUGGUCUCACUCAACAGAAGAGGCAAGAGAUAAAGGAAGCUUUUGAACUGUUUGACACUGAUGGCUCAGGAACUAUUGAUGCUAAGGAGUUGAAUGUUGCUAUGAGGGCUCUGGGUUUUGAGAUGACCGAAGAGGUAUAAAAUCUGUCAUUUUGUUGGUUUUUUGUUGAUUACGAUUGAAAUAUUUCUUCUCUGAAUACUUGCAAAAAGAUAACCUAUGUUCCUUCCACUAUUCUUUUUCUUCUCUGGGUUCUAAGACACUCAGACAAGGGUGUGGCCUCCUUAACUGACACUUCAAUAUUUACCCAGAGUCUCAUAAUACCUCAACGGCUCAACCAUCUC